rnacentral:misc_RNA from 1 species
AAUCUUCAAAAUCCCUCUCUUUUGAGGAUUUUUGGACUUGGAGGUUCAAUGCUCGCUUUUGCCUUUUAGAAAGCGAGCUCCUCUCAAAUGAAUCAGUGGGGUCUGCUUUGCCGGUCCUUGACGUGAUAAGGUCUUUCUACGUUUUGGAUUCGACAUCGUCCCGCUUCCAAUCGUCCCACGGACAAAAGGAUGGUGCUCCGGUCGCGGCCGGACCCACCAAGAAAAA